UACGGAGGGGGCUAGCGUUGUUCGGAAUUACUGGGCGUAAAGCGCGCGUAGGCGGACCUGCAAGUCGGGGGUGAAAGCCCGAGGCUCAACCUCGGAACUGCCUUCGAUACUGCGGGUCUCGAGUCCGGGAGAGGUGAGUGGAAUUCCUAGUGUAGAGGUGAAAUUCGUAGAUAUUAGUAAGAACACCAGUGGCGAAGGCGGCUCACUGGCCCGAUACUGACGCUGAGGCACGAAAGCGUGGGGAGCAAACAGG
rnacentral:rRNA from 1 species